rnacentral:lncRNA from 1 species
UGAAUAGUGACUGAGAAGCAGCAGGCUACAGUUCUUUUCCUCUGAAGAAUUUAGUGUGAGAUUUUUCUUUUCCAAUGUAAGAGCAUCCAGAAUGAAGAGUCUGUUGUAUUCAUACCCAGGACAUUUGCUGGAAAGACCAAUGAAUGACUGGCUAGGAAGAAGGUUGCUGGAAAAUAAGGACACUAUCACAGAAUGUUUAAGGGCACCUUACUACCUCCAAAUUGAGUUGGUAGGACAAUAUCUCAAAAUGUCAGAGGUAUCCAAACAACAACCAGCUGAAGUAAUCACCUCUUGUCUGAUGGAGACUUGUUGGCACAGAUAA